rnacentral:rRNA from 1 species
CCCUUAGAUGUUCUGGGCCGCACGCGCGCUACACUGACGAAGUCAGCGAGCAUGUCCUACGCCGACAGGUGCGGGGAAUCUUGUCAAACUUCGUCGUGAUGGGGGUUGAUUAUUGAAAUUCUUGAUCAUCAACGAGGAAUUCCUAGUAAGCGCAAGUCAGCAGCUUGCGUUGAUUACGUCCCUGCCCUUUGUACACACCGCCCGUCGCUACUACCGAUUGAAUGGUUUAGUGAGAUCUUCGGAUUGGCGCCACUGCGGCUCAGCAAUGGGCUCGGUGGAUGCCGAAAAGUUGAUCAAACUUGAUCAUUUAGAGGAAGUAAAAGUCGUAACA